AUUGAACGCUGGCGGCAUGCCUUACACAUGCAAGUCGAACGGCAGCACGGGAGCAAUCCUGGUGGCGAGUGGCGAACGGGUGAGUAAUAUAUCGGAACGUGCCCAGUAGUGGGGGAUAACUGCUCGAAAGAGCAGCUAAUACCGCAUACGACCUGAGGGUGAAAGGGGGGGAUCGCAAGACCUCCCGCUCUGGGAGCGGCCGACAUCAGAUUAGUUAGUUGGUGGGGUAAAGGCCUACCAAGGCAACGAUCUGUAGUUGGUCUGAGAGGACGCCCAGCCACACUGGGACUGAGACACGGCCCAGACUCCUACGGGAGGCGGCAGUGGGGAAUUUUGGACAAUGGGGGCAAGCCGGAUCCAGCAAUGCCGCGUGCAGGAAGAAGGCCUUCGGGUUGUAAACUGCUUUUGUCAGGGAAGAAAUCCACUAGGUUAAUACCCUUGGGGGGAUGACGGUACCUGAAGAAUAAGCACCGGCUAACUACGUGCCAGCCGCCGCCGUAAUAC
rnacentral:rRNA from 1 species